rnacentral:rRNA from 1 species
GACGAACGCUGGCGGCGUGCCUAAUACAUGCAAGUCGAACGCAGUGGGGACGGGUGAGUAACACGUGGGUAACCUCCCAUCACAGGGGAUCACACUUGGAAACCGGUGCUAAACCGAUACUGAUGGAUGGACCCGCGGGGCAUUAGCUAGUUGGUGAGGUAACGGCGCACCAAGGCCACGAUAAAUAGCCGGCCUGAGAGGGUGAUCGGCCACACUGGGACGGAGACACGGCCCAGACUCCUACGGGAGGCAGCAGUAGGGAAUCUUCGGCAAUGGGCGAAAGUCUGACCGAGCAACGCCGCGUGAGUGAAGAAGGUUUUCGGAUCGUAAAGCUCUGUUGUUAGAGAAGCGGUAUCUGAACAGAAAGCCACGGCUAACUACGUGCCAGCAGCCGCGGUAAUAC